UACGUAGGGUGCAAGCGUUAAUCGGAAUUACUGGGCGUAAAGCGUGCGCAGGCGGUAAUGUAAGACAGAUGUGAAAUCCCCGGGCUCAACCUGGGAACUGCAUUUGUGACUGCAUUGCUGGAGUACGGCAGAGGGGGAUGGAAUUCCGCGUGUAGCAGUGAAAUGCGUAGAUAUGCGGAGGAACACCGAUGGCGAAGGCAAACCCCUGGGCCUGUACUGACGCUCAUGCACGAGAGCGUGGGGAGCAAAC
rnacentral:rRNA from 1 species